GGCUCCACUUCCAGGAGACCUCACCAAGGGAAAUUCCUCUUUCUGGGCUGCAGGAUGUUGCAUUCCACAAUCCUAUUCUAAUAAUCUCUCGUUUCAUGGUAUAGUCUCACUGUUUUAAGUUUUUUUUUUUUAAUUGGUUGUUCAAAACAUUACAUAGCUCUUGACAUAUCAUGUUUCAUACUUUAGAUUCAAGAAGUGGGUUUGAAGUUUUUUAAGACUCCAUGGAGAAGUAAGGAAGAUAAGAAACCAUCUGAGCUGCAGAGCCAAACCCCAUGGAGUAUCAUUCAGCCCCUGCCAUGACUUUCACUCCUGGUGACCAGAAUAACCUCAUCUAUCCAUCAGCUUUGUCCAAAGCUGUUGCUGGCGCCUCUGAUUAUGACCACUGUUCUGCCAGCCGCAGGGGUGCAUGCUGUAAUCCCAACUCCUUGGGCAGCUGACGCAGGAGGACUUCAGGUUCAAGGCCAGCCUGGGCAACUUAGGAAGACCUUAUCUCAAACUAAAAAAUAAAAAGAGCUGAGGAUGGGGCUCAAUGGUAAAGCACCCCUGGGUUUAAUCCUCAGUACCAAAACAUAAAAAAUAAAAAUAAAAAAAUUUUUUAAAAAAGUAUGAUUCUAAGUUUUAGCCCUGUCUA
rnacentral:lncRNA from 1 species